AAGUUUUUAAAAAACUCUUUCUUAUAUUUUCAAAAUAUAUGCUUUAUUAGAAUAAGCUAAAUAACU
rnacentral:tRNA from 1 species